UUUUUUCUUGGUCCUUUUAUUAAUGUUUUUUUUUUUUGCUUUCAAUUUCAUCAUUCAAUCAAAGUUUUUGUUGUUUUAUUUUUUAUAAUUUGAUCUUCAUUCUUUUAAUUUUUUUUUCUUUUGUUAAAGCUAUUUUUCAAUUAAAUUUAACCCUCCUAUUAAAAAUUUUUGUUUGUCCUCUGAUUAAUUUUUUUAUUUUCAUCCUUAUUUUUCUUAAAUCCAUUUAUGUG
rnacentral:lncRNA from 1 species